GCCAGCGUGGCGUAGUGGUUUCAGUGUUGGACUAUGGCUCAGAAGACCAGGAUUCGAUUCACUGCUUGGACA